GAUGAAGAACGCAGCGAAAUGCGAUAAGUAGUGUGAAUUGCAGAAUUCAGUGAAUCAUCGAAUCUUUGAACGCACAUUGCGCCCCUUGGUAUCCCGAGGGGCAUGCCUGUUCGAGCAUCAUUUCACCACUCAAGCCUGGCUUGGUGUUGGGCGACGUCCCCUUUGGGGACGCGCCUCGAAACGCUCGGCGGCGUGGCACCGGCUUUAAGCGUAGCAGAAUCUUUCGCUUUGGAAGUCGGGGCCCCGUCUGCCGGAAGACCUACUCGCAAGGUUGACCUCGGAUCAGGCAGGGAUACCCGCUGAACUUAAGCAUAUCAAUAAGCGGAGGA
rnacentral:misc_RNA from 1 species